GAUGAACGCUGGCGGCGUGCCUAAUACAUGCAAGUCGAGCGAACAGACGAGGAGCUUGCUCCUCUGACGUUAGCGGCGGACGGGUGAGUAACACGUGGAUAACCUACCUAUAAGACUGGGAUAACUUCGGGAAACCGGAGCUAAUCCCGGAUAAUAUAUUGAACCGCAUGGUUCAAUAGUGAAAGACGGUUUUGCUGUCACUUAUAGAUGGAUCCGCGCCGCAUUAGCUAGUUGGUAAGGUAACGGCUUACCAAGGCAACGAUGCGUAGCCGACCUGAGAGGGUGAUCGGCCACACUGGAACGUAGACAGGGACCAGACUCCUACGGGAGGCAGCAGUAGGGAAUCUUCCGCAAUGGGCGAAAGCCUGACGGAGCAACGCCGCGUGAGUUAUGAAGGUCUUCGGAUCGUAAAACUCUGUUAUUAGGUAAGAACAAAUGUGUAAGUAACUAUGCACGUCUUGACGGUACCUGAUCAGAAAGCCACGGCUAACUACGUG
rnacentral:rRNA from 1 species